rnacentral:rRNA from 1 species
AUUGAACGCUGGCGGCAGGCUUAACACAUGCAAGUCGAGCGGGGUGAUGGUGCUUGCACUAUCACUUAGCGGCGGACGGGUGAGUAAUGCUUAGGAAUCUGCCUAUUAGUGGGGGACAACAUCUCGAAAGGGAUGCUAAUACCGCAUUCGUCCUACGGGAGAAAGCAGGGGAUCACUUGUGACCUUGCGCUAAUAGAUGAGCAUAAGUCGGAUUAGCUAGUUGGUGGGGUAAAGGCCUACCAAGGCGACGAUCUGUAGCGGGUCUGAGAGGAUGAUCCGCCACACUGGGACUGAGACACGGCUCAGACUCCUACGGGAGGCAGCAGUGGGGAAUAUUGGACAAUGGGGGGAACCCUGAUCCAGCCAUGCCGCGUGUGUGAAGAAGGCCUUAUGGUUGUAAAGCACUUUAAGCGAGGAGGAGGCUCUUUUGGUUAAUACCCAAGAUGAGUGGACGUUACUCGCAGAAUAAGCACCGGCUAACUCUGUGCCAGCCGCCGCCGUAAGAC